UGAAACUAAUGGCUGUUGAUGGGAUUUUAAAAUGGACAUCCCCUUUUUUUUUCACGGUGCUACAAAUAUUUGAGGGUGAUACGCUCGACCGAUCUCAGGUGUACACAACAUACUUGAACUUUUGAGAAAAUUGAUUGUAUUGUAUACAGCUGAUGAAAACAAGAACACUGGAGUUGAUGUUGAACAGCCAAAAGGAAUGGGGCGGAGUCGGAGUGAGGAUCAGAACAUCUGAAAGGCAGAAGCAUCAAGAAGCACAAUGCCCGAGGCUUGCAUCAAUUCAUCUCGUCUAUUCCGGAUCUGUGCAAAACUACCCCUCAAGCAUUACAAAAAACAUGUAUCG